GCGGAGCGCGCGAACUUAACCACUCAGCCAUGAGGCCAGCCCUAACAGGUAAAAGUUUUAAAAACUGUGAGAUGUACUAGGAAAGAAAAGUUUGAUCGACAGAGAAUCUGACAGGGGGCAGAUGAGGUGAGAGUGGAAUGACAUCUCAGGGAUGUGCCAAUAAAAAGAUCACCUAAAUGAUGAAACUAGCCACGGAAAGUACAUUUCAAAGAGUAGGAAUAGCAAAAGCAAAGGCCACUUGGUGGAAAAAAAAGCUUGGAGGCUCACAAGAGGGAGAAGUAUGAGAUGAGACAGGAUAGUAAGACAGGCGCCCAAUCUUGGAGUGCAAGGCAAGGUAUUGGAUUUUAUUCUAGGGGUGUUCUCUGUUGAACCAUACUAUGUGGAAUCUGUGUUAGUUAGGAUGGAUUAAUAACAAAUGAUUGCAUUGAAAGAUCCAAAGAAUAUGCUUCUAGGAUGGAGGCUUCAAUGAGGGGAAGAGCCGAAUUCAGAGACAGAAGCUCCCCAUGCUUCUCGUAGUUUUCAAGGGGCUACAGAGAGAUGGCUAAUUAAUCAUCUUAAAUGUCCAUUAUCAAGUCAAAUCUGUGAAACUAUCCAGAGGAUAGAAGUUGCUACCAACCCUUUGACCUGGCAGCAUUAUGUUCUCUCUUGAGAAGGUGUGAGUGUGUGUGUGUAUGUGUGUGUGCAGGGAUCAUGAAAUGUAUGCCAGGCUAGACUCCUCAUUUCUUUUCAUUUUAAAGUUCACAUAACACACCGAGUGGGCACCUUUGAGAUGUCAGCUCUGGCUAGGAAGUAGUGAGAUUGCAAACAGGGAAAAUGUGUCAAUAGGUCACCAAGACAAACUACCUUCGGAACAAAGGUAUUCACCUUUUCCUGCAGGUCUCUGCCGUGGAUGGAUGAACGCCAACCAUUUCAUUCAAAUUUUAUUUAAGAAAUGUUUUUACUCUUAAAAAGUUAUAAUUAACAAUGCUGGCAUAAAUUUGUUUUGUAUCAGAAAUUCAUUCACUGGAGACAGCACCCACUCAUCAGUGUCAGCUGCCAUGUCCAUUUGCUAUGCCAACUUGAGGUAAAGCUUCUCUUGCCAUCUCGGUUGAACUGGACCAUUUUCUGAGCCCACAAGACCUAUUGACUUAAAAAGUUAUUAUUUGUAAAUACUUACCUAUCCAAAUAGAAAUUUUCUCAAUCUGUUGCAACCAGAAAUACAAUGGAUUCUGAGGCUAAUAUAAGACAGCAACUGUCCUCCAUCACUCUUAGCUUAAAAUACUUAAAUAGUCUCAUUGUCUUUAUUAAUUGACUUUUUACAUUUUAUAAAUACUGAAGCACUAAUAAAGAACCAUUAACUGCUCUGUACAGGAGGGCCUCCUCCGGUCUUUACACGUCAAUACCUUUAUGCCUGCCUUUGACAGUUGUCACAGUUUCAACAACUACAUAUACAUAUGUACAAGCAUAUAGAGAAACACAUACCUAUAUAUACACAUACACAUAUACAUCUGUAUUUAACUGUUCAUUACAAAAGCUUUUUGGGAGCAUUCACUCAUUCAGUCUAUUGACGGAUAUUUGAGUCUCUACCAGGUGCCAGACACUAUUCCAGGCAGUAGGAAUACAGCAGUCAACAAAACAGACAUAUCUCUGCCUUCAUAGAGUUUCCAUUUUUGUGGCGGGAGACAGAUAAUAAAGAAAAGACAUCAGUAAAAUAUAUAAAAUGUUAGAUGAUGAUAUGUGUUAAGGGAGAAAGAAAAGCUGGGAAGGGAUAGAGAGAGUGUGGGGGAGGUGGGUGGUGGUUGUGAGUUAGAUAAUGGCCAGACAGACAAGCUGAGAUUUGACCAAGCCCUGAGAGGUGAGGGAGCAGGCCUUGCAGGCAGAAGCAACAGCCAGGAGUAAGUGAACACAAGGAAGAAUACAUAUAUGUGUCAUCAAAAUAUAAAGUACAGAAGCAUAGGGAGUAAAAAGUGGAAGUUCUUGACACCCAAUCGCAACCUAAUUCCCUCCCAGGGCGAGAGUGGAGACAGUUAAUGUGUCUCCUUCCAGGCCAUCUUUGCACAUUUUUAGAAAACCAAAUACUAAAUACAUUGUCUAGUGGAUUGCUUUUCUGUUCAAUUCACAGUAUCUCACAACAUUCUUUAUCAAUAUGAACAUAGUCCACUAAUUUUAAUAGUUCUGUGGUAUUCUGUUGGAUGCAUGCACCAUAUUUUGCUUGGCUAUUUUCCUAUUUUUGGACCUUUCAGUUGUUUCUCAUAAGUAUUAAAAAAUGUUGCGCUAAAUGUCCUUGUACGUUUUUUGAGUGCUUAUGGGUGUAUAUCUGUAGGAUAGAUUCCUUCUUUAUCCAAAACUUUCACGAGAAGUUAUUUCCCCAAUUAAAAACUUUUAAAUGAAUUUCGUUAUGAAUUACAUGUUUUGAUUAAUGCCAUUUUGCUAAAUCCAGAAAAUCAUUUUAAUAAAAGGUUAGGGAAAAACUCCUCUAGUGUUCUUUUUAUACCUCCCUGCCUUUUGCCAUAUGCCCAAAAAAAAAAAAAUUUUUUUUAAUGAUUUUCUUGCCAGUAACUGCUUUUGGCAUAGCCAGAAGCUGAACAUCACAGUGGGGGCGGAAAGGAGCGUUUUGCUCCAAAUUGUGUAAUUUGGCAAACUGUCCUACUAUGGUAGUCAUGUUUUUGCAAGAUUCAGUGAACUUUCUAAAGACUGCCUCUCCAUCAACAGUUUGCUGCUGCAAACCAUGAGAGUGUGGCCGCCCUUCUCCCCUUGACCCCCUCCCCUCUCCCCUGCAGGUGGAGGCUCUGUGGAGCUCAUUUGUUCAGAUCCCUGGGGAGUUCUCCUGCUCAGUGUUGUAGGUCUUGCUCGUUCUUUAUUCCUUCUUGCAUUUAAACCCUUUCCCCUUCUAACAAGUUGCCUCAAAUAUGAUAACAGAAGGCCAAUGAGGAGUUCAUUCCCAAACUAUACUUGUAUGUGUGUGUAUGUAUAGACCGUGAAUGUGCGCUUCCUGGAUGACUGAUGAAAUGCCAUUCCAUUUCUGUCUAAAGGGGUAAGAAUGAUCAACAGCAGCAAAUAUUCUUCAGCAUUUACUUUGUGCUGGGCACUGUCCUAAGCCCUCAUCUUUUUGUUUCGUUCUAGUAACAACCCUACAGAGUAGGAACCAUCCUCCCCAUUUUACAUGUGGGAAGAUCAGGAAUGCGAAAGGACUUCCCAAAGUACACACAACUAAAAGGUGGGAGGUCUGGGAUUUGAAGCCAGGUCUUUUGGACUCUGGAGUCCCACAGUCUUGACCACUGUGCCCCAUUUCCUGUCUAGGCCAUGUCUGAGGGCCUUUCACGUUGAUGGAGCUUCUUCUCUACUACUCCUCUGGUGCAAGUCAAAGUCAUGGCCAUGGGCCAGUGCUAGGUUUGAAAGAAACAGAAAGAUAUCUUGAGGGUGCUUGUGAUGCUGCUAGUGAUAACCAUGACUCACCUUCCAAGACAGACCUCCUAUGUGUGGUGGAGGACACAAACAGAUUUAGACUGAGAGACCUGACUUACAAUACUGUCACUUCGUGAGCACUAUGGCAUUUCUUGGGUUUCUUAACUUGGAAAAUGAUGACAGUAAUAACUCCCUUAUAGAAUGUUGUGAGGGUGAGACACUAUGUGGAAAUGCACCCACUAAGGAUAUUUUUUUUUUUAUUAUUUAUUAUUAUUCUUCCAAGAGAAGCAAAGACAAUACAAAUUUCUAUGAGAAGAAACAUCACGAGUCUCAGUUCCUAAUUGAAAACAUGCAAGAGUUUCUGGGAAUUACAACAUGGCUGAACCUUGAAAACAUUAUGCUAAGUGAACGAAGACAAUCACGAAAGGCCACAUAUUGGAUGAUUCUAUUUAUAUCAAGUGUCUGGAACAGGCAAAUCUAGACAGACAGAAAGUAUUUCAUCGGUUGCCUAGGGCUGGGAGGUUUUGGGGGAAGCAGAGAGUGACCACUAAUGGGUGUGGAAUUUCUUUUUGGGGUGAUAAAAAUAUUCUAAUACUGAUGGUGGUGAUGCUUGCGCAACUCUGUGAACACAAUAAAAAUUACUGAAUUGUAUGAUUUAAGUAGGUGAAUUAUAAGGUAUUGGAAUUAUAGUUAAGUAAAAAAGUUUCCAUUAAAAAUAAGUUUCUCGUGUAUGUUUAGUUAAAAGAAAUUGAGAGAUACCACAGUUUAUCAAGGGUGUUUAUAUUGAAUGCAUUUCUCCAAAAAGAUAUGUGCUGCCUCUUUCUUACCAAGACACUUAGAAGCAUCAAAAAACAAAAGUAUAAAGUUAAAAAAAAUGUCUAAAGGAAAAACAAACCCAGGAAGAGAAGCUAGACAGAAAAGUAGAAAGCUGGGAGUGAAGCUGCCUAUAAGUCUCCACGUAGCCUGACUCACACUCAGCAGGGCAUGCAUUUUGAGUUGUUUAUUAUAGGACGAUGGAUCUGCUGUGAUUCAUCCACACUGUCCUGUGGAGGAUCCAUGUGACAAAAUGGGCUCCAUGAAAAAGAAACUUGACCUUGCCCCACAGGCCACACAGAUGCGCAUGUGGCAAGAUGCCGAGGGAAGAUGAGGACAAUUUGGUGCUUGUGGAAUCAAAGCAUGGCGUCUGAAUCCCAGUGAAGCCAUCUAUCAAGGUCCAGCUCUAGGUAUUCAGCCCACAGCAGGUAUAACAUCCGCCAAAAUAUGAGAAGAUGCAGAAGUAACUUGGUCAUAAAUGUCUUGUCUCUUGUUUCUGAAAAGAGAAAAUAUCUAUAAAAGUGCCUGGCUCAAGUUAGGACCUUAAUGGAUUUUGUGGAAAGUACUGUUGUUGGAACUAACCCAGCCAUAAAAGACCUCAUCUCCCUCCAUGACUUUUCGGUAAUUAGUCAAUUCAUUGGAAAAAAAGAACUGACCUGCUUUCCUGACAUAAUAAUUUUUAUUUUUGGUGGUGCCUUACAGUUUAUAGAGUGCUCCCAUGUCAAUAGCUCAUUUGAUUUUUGAAGAGCACUGUGGAGGCAUAGAAUGCUAGAGAGCAGAGUCAGAGAUGGCCGGUGGUUUUCAAGGUCACUUGACCAGGGCAGAGAACGACCCAAGUCCAGUCUUCUUCCCAGGACAGGUGAGCUGAAAUUACUUGGCCUAGUUAGUCAAUUUAAUUUUUCAAUGUUUCAAGGGAUUAUAUUGAUGCUACUUAGCAUCAAAGAGAGUGUUGUUGGUAAAAACAUCAGAUAUGGCAAGGAUGGGAGUUGGCCAACCAGGCCACCACUUCUUGAGGCCAAAAUGAAGCAGUGAACUAAGCCUAAGGACAGAGAAUCCGGUGCCUGUUGGGAAAGGAGCUUAACAAGAUGGUUAAGAGCACAGGUUUGGAAUCACCUUCUAGUUCCAUCACAGUUUCAUCACCUAUAAACUGGGGGCAACAUUACUAUUGUACAAGAUCGAUGCAAGGGUUGAGUGUGCUACUGUUUGUGAAGUGUUCAGCAGAGUGCCAGGCACAGAGUAAGUGCUCAUUAAAGGCUCCUUUUUAUUGCCCAUUUUCUUCUCCUACUUCUUCUUAUUUUAUCUUCUCCUUGUCAUCCUCCUCACUGUCAUCUGCUCAGGAGAGUGCAGGGUCAUCUCACAACAACUGAGAAUUUAGACCACUUGAGAGGAGGCAUAGAGAUACCUGUGGGAUUCAGUGUCAGCUGACAUGUGAAGGGAAGUUGAGUUCCUUUUAGCUUAAUCUUUGAAAGCCAAAGCCAUUCUGGUUAAGCUUGUUCUGCCCUUUCUCCAAAUGCAAUUCAUCCAUUCAUACACUCAUUUUUUUCUCACUAUCAUUUGUUGAGCCUCAACCAUGCUCUAUAUUUAAAGCCCAGGCAGCCCGACCACUGAGACAUGACCAUCCACUGAGCUGGAGAGAGUGGGUGCCAGGUCACGGAACUAUGGGUCAGACAUGCCCAGGAAGAAUUUGGCCUGGAAGGCAGGCUGGGCUUGGGGUGGACCAGCGAGAGAGCAUGUAGGGCCAGAGGUCUAGGUGGUGAUAUGAGAAAUGGGACAGAAGUUUGUGUGGGUCCCAAAGGCAGAACUGCAAUCACCAUCCAAGUUAUCCAGCUGAACCACAAGGUAUGACCACGGACUAACCUCCCCACAGGCUGGAUGAGGUUAGAAUUCAGAGGUCCACACAGGGCAGCAAGCACAGGCAGAGGUGUGAUGAAGGCGGGUGUCCAGCGGUCAAGGCCUCGGUCUCAGAGGCUGAGAUGACAGACACCUGUCUGGUUUCAACCUUGUGAUCUGAGCACCUAGACACGGAACUACUCUGAGAGGAUGAGACAUGGGUUCAGAUCUGGGAGAGGUGAGUGGCCCACCCAACCUCCCGCCACACACUAAUCUCCAGGCAGGCCCAAGCUAGCAGAUAGGUGCUUGUCCUCUGGGCAAAGCAGUGGCCUUCAGAGACUAGAGCUGCAGUAGAGGGUCCUAAACGGGAUCCCAUUAGCUUUCGAUUGCCCAAAUUUAUUCUUGAUCUUCUUAAGAUCAAUAAAAGGUUCAAGUUGGGAAUCUCUUUUGGUUUUUCAACCUCUGCAGGAGUUAUUGACCCAUCAAUCAACUCUGUCAAUCACCAGAGGCUCAUUUGACACCAGGAACCAAUCACUGCCACUGUUGGUGACCCCUCUGCAUGGCCCAAACAUCCAUCCUCAUCUUCUGCUAAAUCUUUGGCGCGUACCUGUGCAACUCGGCGAAAUAUGUCUUUGUAGUUUGUCUGGUUUAAACCAGUGCUUGCUGUAGGUGAAUGUUGAUUGCAAAUUUGGGCCUUGCAAGUAAUGUUAAUGGUGUGCUAUUGGGAAGAGUGGAAAAUGCCAUUGGAGAGAUAAGUUAAGAGUGAGGAAAAGGCAGCUUAGUGGAAAGAGCACUGAGUCAGGAUUUCAGAGAUUUGAAUUCGUCUUUGCUCUACUAUUAACAGGACUGUAACCUGGAUUGGUCUCAGUGUCAUUGACUGUUGAAAAGGAAUGAUACUUGAGUUCUUUAUUUGACUGUUACAAUGAUCUAAUGAGAUAAACAUGUAGAAAUGUUUUGGAAACGAAAAAGUGCUUAGUUCUUCUAUUCAAAAGAAUUUGCCAAGAGCAGCAUAUCGGUUGCUAACUCAGUGUAGCAGCCAGGGGAGGGCAGACAGAUAAGAAGGACAAGCAGAGCUGGCGUCCCCCAGGGUCUCUGCUGCCUAGAGGGUGAGGCUGGGCCUCCGCUGUCAUAAGAGGUGGUAGCAGAGUGCGGAGGAAGAAGGAGAGGAGCAGGGUCCGGAGCCCUGGAGAGAAACUGAGGCAGGAAGAAGGUAGCUCCCUCAGUUUCAAUAGGCAAAGAUUAUGCGCUGGAAGCCAGACUGCAGGGAUCAGGAGCCACUGCCAGGAGUCUGGAAAACAGAGGACCAGAGGUUCAGAAAGGCUGAUGGCCAAAGAACUGGCCAGUCACCCUGGCAGACCCCAGGGUGCAGCCAGCCUGAAUGGAGCCCAGGCGUUUUCAAGAUGUCUUCCCCUUACCAGACCAGAUGAAAAAGACCACUGAGGAGACACUUAAGCAAGCUCUAACUUUACAGUGAACAGGAGGCACUCUGGACCUGACUUGCUUCGUCUGGGUUCUUCCUACCCGGCUGGUGAGAAAGCUCUCUGUCCUCAAACACAGAAAGAAGUCGAUCUCACUCCCAUCAACAUGCAUGUUUCUGACCCAGCUCCAAACGAAACUUCAGACCAGACUGGACUCUUUCAGAGCCAGGCUGAGCCUAGGCUGGGCCCCGCUUGCAGAAAUUGCUAAUGACUUGCUGGUAAGCACCCAAGUCCGAGAAGCCUACGAACACUCGAAGCAGGGCUUUGGAACCGAAAAAGAAAGUUCAUCUCCUCACCAUCUGGCUAGCUUUUAUAAUCCUUAUUGCACUAUGAUUAAUUUUUUAUGCUGUAGAUUUCUGCUAAUUAAUUGUAAUUACCAAGAACAGGAAAUUUCUGCACGGCCAGAUCAUGUUUACCCAGAAUGGCAAAGUUGGAGAACUGUUCUUUAAGAGACGUUCUUGGGAUUAUUGAAUUUUAAAAGCUGGGUGGAGCCUCUGAGGCUGGGUCUCCCACGUAGCUGGUUAGUAGCACAGCGAAGAUAAAAACACCAGCUUCCACAUCCCUGGUCCAGUCAUGUUUGUACCAUGCCCUGCUGCCUUGAGAGCUAGUUCACACCAGAAGCAGCCACUCCUCUCUGUUUGGGUGGAUUCAUCAAAUCCAGGAUGGAAUUUGGUCAAAAUGUCUCAUUGCAUCACCAUGUCACUUUGAAACUCCUAGUUCUUCGGACAUAGAGUUCUUGUCCAUGUGAUAUGAACCAAUAAAUUCUCUGGAAAAAAAUCAGUCCAAACACUUGGCUGGUAUCUUAGAGGG